rnacentral:rRNA from 1 species
CCUACGGGAGGCAGCAGUGAGGAAUAUUGGUCAAUGGGCGCGAGCCUGAACCAGCCAAGUAGCGUGAAGGAUGACUGCCCUACGGGUUGUAAACUUCUUUUAUAAAGGAAUAAAGUGAGGCACGUGUGCCUUUUUGUAUGUACUUUAUGAAUAAGGAUCGGCUAAACCCGGGCCAGCAGCCGCGGUAAUACGGAGGAUCCGAGCGUUAUCCGGGUUUAUUUGGUUUAAAGGGAGCGUAGAUGGGUUGUUAAGUCAGUUGUGAAAGUUUGCGGCUCAACCGUAAAAUUGCAAUUGAUACUAGCAGCCUUGAGUACAGUAGAGGUAGGCGGAAUUCGUGGUGUAGCGGUGAAAUGCUUAGAUAUCACGAAGAACUCCGAAUGCGAAGGCAGCCUACUAAGCUGCCACUGACAUUGAUGCUCGAAAGUGUGGGUAUCAAACAGGAUUAGAUACCCUUGUAGUC